rnacentral:tRNA from 1 species
AGGAUAAGAUUAUAAAAGUGUUAAGCGGUAGCAUAAAAAAUGUGCUUCAUUGAAAAUGAAGAAGAUG